rnacentral:rRNA from 1 species
AUUGAACGCUAGCGGCAUGCCUUACACAUGCAAGUCGAACGGAGUGGCGCACGGGUGCGUACUGUAUCGGAACGUGCCCCGUCGCGGGGGAUAACUACGCGAAAGCGUAGCUAAUACCGCAUCCUUUCGGAGCGGCCGAUAUCGGAUUCGCUAGUUGGUGGGGUAACGGCUCACCAAGGCGACGAGCCGUAGCUGGUGUGAGAGGAAGAUCAGCCAAACUGGGACUGAGACACGGCCAAGACUGCUACGGGAGGCAGCAGUGGGGAAUGGUGGACAAGGGGGGAAACCCUGAUCCAGCCAUCCCGCGUGUGCGAUGAAGGCCUUCGGGUUGUAAAGCACUGUUGGCAGGGAAGCGGUACCUGCAGAAGAAGCACCGGCUAACUACGUGCCAGCAGCCGCGGUAAUUC